rnacentral:rRNA from 1 species
GACGAACGCUGGCGGCGUGCUUAACACAUGCAAGUCGAACGGAAAGGCCCUGCUUUUGUGGGGUGCUCGAGAGGCGAACGGGUGAGUAACACGUGAGUAACCUGCCCUUGACUUAGGGAUAACUUCAGGAAACUGGGGCUAAUACCGGAUAGGAUCUCCUGCUGCAUGGGGGGGAUUGGAAAGCUUCGGCGGUUGGGGAUGGACUCGCGGCUUAUCAGCUUGUUGGUGGGGUAGUGGCUUACCAAGGCUUUGACGGGUAGCCGGCCUGAGAGGGUGACCGGCCACAUUGGGACUGAGAUACGGCCCAGACUCCUACGGGAGGCAGCAGUGGGGAAUAUUGCACAAUGGGCGGAAGCCUGAUGCAGCGACGCCGCGUGCGGGAUGACGGCCUUCGGGUUGUAAACCGCUUUCGCCUGUGACGAAGCGUGAGUGACGGUAAUGGGUAAAGAAGCACCGGCUAACUACGUG